rnacentral:misc_RNA from 1 species
CCUCGUAAUGAGAUCGGAACUGAGGGAUGUUUUCGAGCAACUAGCGGUGCCGAGAAUGCGGAAUCCGCUGUUCGGCGCUGAGAAAAGUAGAAGUUCUCCUGAAUUAUUUAGAAGCAAAAGUGUUUUUCGUACUGGAUUACUUACGAGAAACGGAUCACUUGACUUGGAACCGCCAAGCGAUAAGGCGGGCAGGAAAAAGG